CUCCAGAAGGACACUGAGAAGCUGCAGAAGGAAAUUGAGAGGCUGCAUAACAUGCUUAGUCAAGUACACGUACCAGGUUCCCAAUCCCAGGACCACAUGGUGUCCCUCAGCACCCAGAUGCAACAAGAAGCCAGGCCCAUUACCUCACAGGAGAUGACCCAGACCUCACUGCCCAGGAAGGUGAAGGGGAGCACUAAGGACCCAAAGGCUGUGAACAUGGACAAGGACUCU